rnacentral:lncRNA from 1 species
AUGGCACCGGGAGUGGCUCUUUGAGCAUCUUUUCAUCCUAUCACCUUAUAACUCCGAAAAUUCUAAAUAUUCAUUUUUUUUCAACCUUUUCGGCUUUUCAAUUAAUCUCCAUGUGGUAGCUUUACAUACUUGCCGGACAACCGGGGUGGUAGCUCUUUCCUACAUGUGGUGGUAGUUUUUACACUCCUUUUAGGAUGUAACUCUUUCUACAUCUUUUAAACAUAGGA